GUAGGGUGCAAGCGUUAAUCGGAAUUACUGGGCGUAAAGCGUGCGCAGGCGGUUAUGCAAGACAGAGGUGAAAUCCCCGGGCUCAACCUGGGAACUGCCUUUGUGACUGCAUGGCUAGAGUACGGUAAAGGGGGAUGGAAUUCCGCGUGUAGCAGUGAAAUGCGUAGAUAUGCGGAGGAACACCGAUGGCGAAGGCAAUCCCCUGGACCUGUACUGACGCUCAUGCACGAAAGCGUGGGGAGCAAACAGGAUUAGAUACCCUGGUAGUCCACGCCCUAAACGAUGUCAACUGGUUGUUGGGAGGGUUUCUUCUCAGUAACGUAGCUAACGCGUGAAGUUGACCGCCUGGGGAGUACGGCCGCAAGGUUG
rnacentral:rRNA from 1 species